AGUCUGGGCAACGUGGGACCUGGACGCUGUGAGGAGUGUGGCCUGGAUGGGGCAGCAGUAUGCAAGGGCCAAACAGGCAUUGAUGCCUGCCCUCAUUGUGGGCUCAGCACUGUGGAGACGAAGGGCUUCACCACGUGUUUGGGAAGCGAGCACAGCUCAGGGUCAGAGCCAGGUGGAGACGGGGAGGCCGGGGAGCUCAUCAGGCUGUGGGCCAGGGCUGUGCCCAGCGUGCCUGGGAGGACAGCAUGACUUGGGCCUGUGCAGGAGAGGUCGCAGCAGCCUGGAUGGAAACCCGCUUGGCACAGGUUGAUGGCCGUGGGGAGAAGUCAUGGUCUGAGCAGCCGCUGGCCCGGCCUGGAGCAAGAAGCCGGUCUGUCAGCUCCGCAGCAGGCAGCCCUGGGCCGCGGUGCCCGGAGCAGUCCCUGGAGAGUUGGAUUUGGGGCGCAGGGGAAGGAGGAUGCAGUCACAGUGCCUGUUGCUCAGGGGCAGGUGAGCAGACACCAUGAAUGAAGGUAGGGUGCACGCUGGCCACAUGCCGUUCACAUCCUGCUGUCCUGCAGCUGCCGCAGCCCUGCAAGGUGUUUCUCGGGCCACGUGGAAAACACCAGCUUCAGCCUCAAAAAAUAUCUAGCACUGAGGGGCCUGAUUCUGCCAUGGUUACAUAUCCUCAUAGGAACAAACCCAGCAACCACCGGCUACUGUGGGCAGGGAUGGAGAUGUGGCCUUAACACCUCGACCCAGAAGCCUUGACUCGUGUGAGUAAAUCCCAGCACUGCAAACAGUCCCACCCCUCCCAGCACGGUGCUGGGACUCACUCUUGCUGGCCUGUGCUCUUAUGUUGGGGCCCGCUGAUCUCCCCAAACAAGUUUGCCCUGGCCCAAAGGAUGUUUGAGCAGCUUCUUGGGCCCCAGUGGCUUUCGGUAGGCUUUGGCUGCUAGGGACACAGGGGAUAGCACGUUGCAGCAGGGACAGAAUCGGGCCCUCCAUGACGACAGGUCUCAGGAUCAGGCCCAAAUGCUCCCUUGCAAAGAAAAAGCAGAGGGUGCCGCUCGGGUGCGACGCGCGGAGCCCACAGACAGGGACAUGUCGCCAUGAGCAGCUCGGCUGGAACCGCCCGGACAUAAAUCCCAUUAUUUUGAUGUCAGCUGAACAGCCUGUUCCUGUAACGAGGUGUUUUAACCUCACUUCAUAGUCAUUGUUCUGCCCUCUUUGAUUUUACUGUAAAUGACUGGACUGGCUUCUGAUGUGUUGCCAGCGCCCCAUAAAUUUCGCCCGUUCACGAAAGAAAACCAAGAGCGUUCUCCGCAAGGCAAUUAGCUCGGCGGCUGGCAACCGCGGGCUCGGCUCUGUGGGGGCUGUCGCCAGCCCCGUGGGCGCUGUCAUAGGCUCGGGGUGGGCGGCUGCUCGAUGGGUUGAUAGCAAACUCCCUCCAGGGAAUUGCAAACACCUGUGCAAUUGGCCCCGCACUUCCUGACAUGGAGAGGAGGGAGUGGAGAGCAGAGGCAGACUUGGACCCAGGGCACAUCUGUAGGGCCCAGGGUUUCUGGGUUGCACGCAGUCAGUGCAUGCACACGUUCAGUAUCCCACGUCCCAUUGGGGUUAGCAGGGCUAGUGAGUGCAGAGGGCUGGAGCAAGGCAUUGAGUAAGGAUUUAGGCACCUGAGCAUUCAGCGAUGUAACCUCCUCCCUUUGUCGGUGCACGGCCCAGCAUGGAAUCCCCUAGAGAGAGCACGAGUUGGAGCCCAAAACCACUGUGGGCUGAGCAGGAAACCACCUCACCACCAGCCAGCACACAAGCCUGCAGCCGCCGAGAGCUCGUGCACAGGAAAUGUUGGGGAUGGGACAUCCUGCACGCUCCAACAGAGCUGCCUGGGGCUGCAGGGAGGUCCUGGCCCCAUCUGGGAUCUACAGCCCAGUGCUGCUGCCUUCCCUCCAAAGGCUGAACACUCCCAGAGUGAUGGACGCUGGGCUCCUGCUCCAGUUCAGGAAAAGCCUCCUCUCCUUCGGGUUGUGACUCCUCAUACCAACCCCUGCCAAGUGUCAGAGCAGCAGAUCACCAGUGGCUGGUUCCCAGCAGGAUGACUUGGCCUUCACCUUCAUGCCCCAACCUAGAUGCGUUGUGGUCAGAGCCAGCACAUGCCCGGACGGAGCUGACCAUCUGAGUCUGCUUUGCUGAGAUACAAGUGAGUCUGGCAUGGAAGUGCGGAGAGACCCACACUCUUCACCCUCUGAUGGAUGAUUUAGGAGUUAGGUAAUUAGGUGAAGCCAAUGCACGCCCAUCUCCUCACCGCAUUCGAAGCUGAUGGGCUCUCUGCAAAGUCCUGCGCCAUGGCCACCUGCCCCUGGACACAGUGCCCAUGCACUCAUCACUCUGUCAGCUCUUCCAGGCGGGUGCUGAGUCUCGCUCCUGUUUGUACAGCACCUUGCACGCGGGCUGUCUGGUUGAUGUCUGGAGGAGCUCUGUCCCAAGUAUGUGCAACUUCAGAGGCCCGUGCAGGCCAAACAAUUGCACAGCAAGCUACUGGCAAGUCCACCCCCUGCCACCAUGCAGAGAAGAUGGUCCUGUCUAGGGCAGCAUCCUGCCAGCUGUUUUCCCCCUAGCACUCCAGCUGUUCUCCCCCCAUCUGACAGCUCCCUGAACCCGGAGCAUGUUUGACAGCCCAUCCCCUUCAUGGCUUAGGGGCAGAGGCGAAUGCCAGGAGCAAAGUAGGUUAACAGUUGUAGAGUCAGCAAACAUUCAGGUGAGGGCAACAGGAGAUGCCCAACAGACUGCGCCAGGGCUGACCAAGGCGUGGAGAGACAAGCCCAUAGCCAGAGAGGCCGGGCAGUAUGACUGUGGCUCAGAAGAGAGGGCAGCAUGAAAGAAGCCAGGUGAGAGCUGGCAGAAUGAAUGGGACCCCGGUGAGAGAGGGUGGAAUGAUAGUGCCCCUCCAGGGUAGUAUGGUAGAGCUACAACUGUGUGCCCAGUUUGCUCUGGAACUAGGCCGGAGAAGUAACACACAGUGGAACAUCUGCAAGGCUUGGGGCACAUACAGGGGUGGUCGGAGCAUGCACCUAUGGCCCUAGUCAUCACAGCAUACAAAAGGUAGUCUCCCGCUCAAGUAACAGCUGAACUUUAUUUUCAUCAAGGCGUGGCAGGCGAGUGGAGCGGGUGGAUUGCCCAGAGCCAAGGGAAGACUGGAGGUGGAGACCUGGCUAAGAAGGAAACCCUGUUAUACAGGGGCUGGAUGGGAAGGGGAUAAAUCCAAAGCAGUCAGUCAGUCUUUGCAAGGUGCUGACCCUGGAGAGCUGCCCGGGUCCUGUGGCUGUAAACCUCAUGUAUCCAGACCCGCAGGGACCUACAUGCCAAAGGGGAAACUUCAGUGCCUGAUUUGCCCCGGGCCCUUCUCCAGCCCAGAUGUGACGACGCUGGCUGCCGAUGAAGCAACCCCUGGGUUAUCGGCUCCUGGAUAAGGGAGACUCUCAUUCCCAGUCCUAUGCCAAGGGCAGCCCAGCUAGUCUGAGGGCACUGGGACUGCACUGGUGUGUUCCCCCUCCCCUCAUCCACCAGUGGGUCUCACAAGGUGGGCGAGCAAGGAACCACGUGGCUGCCCUCCGGCUGCUCCUGGCCCUGCCACGGCAGGAGGAGAAGGGGGGGCUGCUGCUGCCACUGGGUUUUUCCAGGCUGUGAAGCGCAGAGGCAUGCCCAGAUCCUAAUCAGCGUGGGAAAGCAGCGGCCCAGCCUGCUCUGGCCCAGGCCUGCUGGAGACGCCGGGUAUUUUCAUAAGCUUUAUCGCAGGCCCUGAUAAACCACCACAAACAAACAGCGCGGAGCGUGGCCGCCGGCCAGGAGGCUGCUCCCAGACACACGCGCUCCGGUCCCCGGGGGAACGCCACCACCGGCCAGGAUUCAAAGCGGUUCAUUUAUUUUCCUGCCGACUGACGUUCAAAGGGCACGGACCGGAGGCUGGGCGGCCUGGGGCAACGGCUCUGCCUGGGAGACGGCCGACAGGCGCAGCAACUUGGGUUUUCCAUGUGUCCUGGGGCCGGGCUUUCUCAUGGGGUCCCCACAUGUAAAUUGGGGGUGGGGAUGUCCUCACUGCCUCCGAGACAGGAGGGGGUGCUUGCAAAGUUGCAGCAAGGGGGGAGGCAGCCCUCUCAGAAGUGCCUUCUUUUUGGAGAUCAAAGGGCACCACUGCUGUUCUCUGCUCCCCAGGCCCCACGGCACAGGGAGAUCUCCCCAUGACAGCACCAGCCGGCCGGCUCUGUUCAGGUCCUGUGCCUGCAGUCAGGGGGUCUCUGCUUUGCUGGGCGGUCUCACAUUCAUUCAUUUUAACCCGUGUCUCCCCUGGCCCUGGGGACACCCCCUGGGAUGCAGCGCCUUGCAGCUACACGCUGGGUUGGCUUGCUCCAGCCUUUCGUCCCCCAGAAAGCAUGGCACGGCCGCUUAGCCCUGUUUAGGAACUCAUCAGGUCCCGUGCACGCUUUGUGUGCUUAUUGCUCUGGGCCCAUAAAACAGCUUGACCAUGACAAGCUGAGCGCUGCUCUCCCAGCCAUGAUACAAGCGGUCAAGAGAGCAUGUCAGGGUUGGAUGCAUUUGCCAAAGGCAGAAGUCCCGGCUGGGAAAGCCCAGCAAGCUGCCCAUCCUGCACUUACACACACUCUAUACAGUGAUAAGCAGUGCUAUUUAAAGGGGAAACACUAGAGUAAUCCCCGGAGAAAGUGCAGCCCAAAAGGAGCAGGCUUGUCUAGCUGCUGGCUGCAGGAUUUAUUAACCUGGCAGCACACAGAUUACCUCUCAGAGGAUGAUCCCUCAAGGCAAACCACUGGAGCCGUCUGCAUCUCUAGCCAACAUCCGGGCCCACUGCAAACUGCACCGCAAUGAUCAAGGAGCACAGGAGUGGGGCGGGGGGGAGAUAACCACAGCAAUACUCGGACAUAUCCAUCUCCCUUGCAGGUUUGGCUGUGGAAGCCGGCGUGAUGCAUUUAGGUGUUUCUUGACAACUGUCAUGAGAAAAGCCCUGGGCUUACAGGGUUGUGGGGCUAGGGCUUUAUAGCCCCCAUCUCCUUUGCCGAGAGGGUAAGCAAGGAGGUCUUGUGUCGGGGAUGCACUCGGGGCUUGACCGGCACGCGAUGCCAGCCGUGCGGAGAGGGCGAGAGCGGCUUUGGGAGCUGGCAGAGUUUGGCUCCCACUUCUGCUCCCCAGGCAGGGGCACGGCUGGCUCGCAUGGCGGAGAGCCCCCUUUGCCUCCCCCCGACAGCCCUCCUGCUCCCCACUUCCCGUCGCAGGAGCAGCUGGGCUUUCUCCUUGGCGUCUCAGCUCCCGCCACAGCCUCGGCCCAGCUCUGCUUAGCUUGCAUGAUCCCAGAGGUCGAGCUGACCGCCCAGAGCGUGGGGAGGCAGGCACGCCGUCCUUGAGACAUAUCACCUCCGGCACGCUAUGCUGGAAGGUGCUGACAGCGCGUGCGACUCCUCCUUGGCGCCCCUCCUCCCCAAACAUCCUCCUUAAAAAUAAAGCGUCCAAAAUAGCCCCGGCCAGCGCUGACAUUUGCCAGGCAGCUGCUCUCGGGAAUGCUGCGCCUCCCUCCCAUCCCCGCCGGCGAGCGCUGGAGCCGGGCCAGGUGUCGUGUCUGCAGGGGAAUGGGAACAAGGUGUCUUCCAGGGAGCGGGGCUGGCCCCGGGGCACGGCGCCCUGCCGCUGUCCAUCACCCUGCUGGCACCCCUGCCCCGGAGGUAGCCUGGCCGGGGGGGUUCACACUUCGCACCCUGCCUGCUCGGAAAUAAGGGUCGGUUAUGGUGUCUCGUGGCUGGUUUGUGGCCUGGUUCUUGGGGGAAAGCAGCUGUCAGGACACAGACCCCCAUUUCUCUUUGCUGGGCUGAGCAAUGACCAUGCACAGGAGCUAUUUUUCCCUCUCCCCACCGGUGGUUCCCUGCUGCACUGGGGUCACAGCCGUACGGGGACCCUCGGCCCAGCUGCUCGGUGGCGACUGUAGCGGGUCCGGUCCAGAGGGUCGUCUGCCCAGCUGCUUCAUAGGCCCUGCAGCCCAGGUGUGUUUAUCAGCGCUGUUUAAAAAGAGGGGGUUGUUGCUCUCAUUCCCCAUCCUCGGUUGAUUUGCAGCCUCCCUGAGAAGGAGCCGGGGAGCCAGUCUUGGGUGGUGCAUCUGGGCUUCUGCCUGCAAAGAAGCAGGUACAAAACCCCUGGGGAGCACCGGGCAGCUCCGUUUCAUGGACAGGAGGGCUAAUCGAGCAAACCUGUUCUUUUUUCUUGCGCCCAUUUUACAGGUCUGGUUGGUAACAGCCGUGCUGCUGUCACCUGGAGGCUUUGACUUUGUGAUUGAGACUCUUCCACCCUGCGGUAUUCACAGGGCAUGCCUUAGAGGGGUUAAACCUGGCUGCAACACAGCUCAAAAUGCUUUUGCUACCGCAGGACGGGAGCUAGUCAACAGGACUGUCGGGGUGUCUCCUCCGACAUCCCUAAGGAAAGGUGGAGGCCAGGGAGGGAUGGCAGCAGACGGACGGCACUAGAAAUGCCCCGUUCCCACGGUCUCCCUCCAAAGCGGUUAUUACCGAGCCGGGCGAUGCAGCCGGACACCCAGCAGGUCCCCAUGCCUCGCGGACGGCCCCGUGGGAGGUCUCUGCCACCACGAGCCAGAAGACAGGGGAACAGCUGGAAAAGGGAAAGAGGCUCCAGCGAGACACGAGACCAGGAGCCUGAGUCAUAAACCUCAUCCUUAGGGCCCAGGGUUUGUCACGGGGAUUAUACAAAGAGCUGCCAUCCGGCCUUGGGAGAGAGAAGCCAACGUCACGAAUUUCCAAUUGAAGAAUGUCAACGCCGGGGCUCUUGAUCCAAACGGCCUGCUUUUGAGCCAAGAAAACAAAAACCCAUCAACAGAGAGAAGCCAUCCAGCUGCUUUGUCUCAGGAACCAAAUAAAUAUUUUAAAAAACCA